rnacentral:rRNA from 1 species
GCAGAGCACUCUACGGGAGGCAGCAGUGGGGAAUAUUGCACAAUGGGCGCAAGCCUGAUGCAGCCAUGCCGCGUGUAUGAAGAAGGCCUUCGGGUUGUAAAGUACUUUCAGCAGUGAGGAAGGUGGAUAUGUUAAUAGCAUAUUCAUUUGACGUUAGCUGCAGAAGAAGCACCGGCUAACUCCGUGCCAGCAGCCGCGGUAAUACGGAGGGUGCGAGCGUUAAUCGGAAUUACUGGGCGUAAAGCGCAUGCAGGUGGUUUGUUAAGUCAGAUGUGAAAGCCCGGGGCUCAACCUCGGAAUUGCAUUUGAAACUGGCAAACUAGAGUACUGUAGAGGGGGUAGAAUUUCAGGUGUAGCGGUGAAAUGCGUAGAGAUCUGAAGGAAUACCGGUGGCGAAGGCGGCCCCCUGGACAGAUACUGACACUCAGAUGCGAAAGCGUGGGGAGCAAACAGGAUUAGAUACCCUGGUAG